AAGUAUGCUUUACCAUAUGGGGUUAUUUUUCUGGAUUUUUGACUUCAUUGUGGAGUAGAUGGAUGAUUAGAAUGUCACAAUGUCAAGUCUUCUUUUAACCAUGCUGAGCACAGGGACAAAAAGGGGAACACAUGCUGCAGCUUCUCCUGCUUGAAAGAUGUGGUGUUGUGUCCAGCUGUCAUCGAUACUUGGCAGCUUAAGUAUCCUGUCCAGUGUGUGGACAAUUGUGAAGGUCGAGAUGGCCAAGUGGUGUUUGGCUGUGAAACAUUUCAAAAUCAUUUCCACUCCAUCAGUCAACCAAACGCUUCUGUUCAAUGCCUGGAAAAUCCUGAGGGUGAAGAUGGAGUAGUGGUGAUCGGCCAUGAAUCAUUUCCAAUGCUCCUGUUGCAUCUCUGAAGUGAAAGACCCUGAUAAAGAUGCUGAUGCUUAUUCAUUUACAUAGGGUCAUAUAAA